GACGAACGCUGGCGGCGUGCUUAACACAUGCAAGUCGAACGAUGAAGCCGUGGCUUGGUGUGGGGCUUGAGUGGCGAACGGGUGAGUAACACGUGAGUAACCUGCCCUGGACUUUGGGAUAAGUUUAGGAAACUAGGGCUAAUACCGGAUAGGAGCUUGGGCCGCAUGGUCGGGGUUGGAAAGUUUUGUCGGUCUGGGAUGGACUCGCGGCCUAUCAGCUUGUUGGUGAGGUAGUGGCUUACCAAGGCGUUGACGGGUAGCCGGCCUGAGAGGGUGACCGGCCAGAUUGGGAGAGAGGGACGGGACAGACACGUACGGCAGGAGUGGGGAGGAUAGAGUGCAGGGUGGGAGGAAGCCGGAGGCAGCAAGGGCGCGUGAUGGAGGACUGCGGGCUGUAUGCAGCUUUUAUUAGGGAAGGAGGGAGUCGGCUUGACGGUAAUUGGUGAAAAAGCACCGGCUAACUACGUG
rnacentral:rRNA from 1 species